CCAAAGAGUGUUCUUUUAACAAUGCCUAGUGUCUUGAGCAAAUUGGCAUUUCAAAGCUCAAGCACUGUACACCAGUGUUGUUAGACAAAUGUUCAUCUGUUUAACUGGAAAGACCAGUGCCACAUACCUGACUAAGCUGUUUCACAUUUCAUAUGUACUCACAAAGUAAAAAACAUUGGCUCUUUUCAACAGAUUGCUGUACAUCCUAUUUACAUGUUUCCCACCACCCACAGGAACACACUUGGCAAUCCAGAAGUUUUUCAACAUGCUAAUUAAUGCAGAUAAUUCAUCUUGCCUUCCGAGCAAAACGUUAAACAGGCAUGAAAGGAAAGGAGCUGCUCAUUGUCCAGGAGGGCGGAAGUAGAGUCCUCCAAGGAGGCAUCACUGCCUCCUCGAUCCAGUCCAGCAAGGCAUCCCAGAGGCAAGGGGACCUGCUGUGGCUUCCCACGACCCUGCCGUCACACUGAGGCACCUUGUGUCCCUGAGCAGAGUUACAUGCUCCAAGACUCCCUGGAGCACGUGCAGCUGUUUGACCUGAUGAGGAGGAUGUUAGAAUUUGACCCUGC
rnacentral:lncRNA from 1 species